CCUACGGGUGGCAGCAGUAGGGAAUCUUUCACAAUGGGCGAAAGCCUGAUGGAGCAACGCCGCGUGCAGGAUGAAGGCCUUCGGGUUGUAAACUGCUUUUAUAAGCGAGAAAUAUGAUGGUAACUUAUGAAUAAGGAUCGUCUAACUACGUGCCAGCAGCCGCGGUCAUACGUAGGAUCCGAGCAUUAUCCGGAGUGACUGGGUGUAAAGAGUUGCGUAGGUGGGAUAAUAAGUAGCUAGUGAAAUCUGGUGGCUCAACCAUUCAGACUAUUAGCGAAACUGUUAAGCUCGAGACCGUUAGGGGUAACUGGAAUUUCUAGUGUAGGAGUGAAAUCCGUAGAUAUUAGAAGGAACACCAAUAGCGUAGGCAGGUUGCUGGGACGGUUCUGACACUAAGGCACGAAAGCGUAGGGAGCAAACGGGAUUAGAUACCCCGGUAGUC
rnacentral:rRNA from 1 species